UACGGGGGGGGCAAGCGUUGUUCGGAAUUACUGGGCGUAAAGGGCUCGUAGGCGGCCAACUAAGUCGGAUGUGAAAUCCCCAGGCUCAACUUGGGAACUGCAUCCGAUACUGGAUGGCUUGAAUUCGGGAGAGGGAUGCAGAAUUCCUGGUGUAGCGGUGAAAUGCGCAGAUAUCAGGAGGAACACCGGUGGCGAAGGCGGCUCACUGGUCCGGUACUGACGCUGAGGUGCGAAAGCGUGGGGAGCAAACAGG
rnacentral:rRNA from 1 species